UUACGCCUCUGGACAGAACUUAACUUCUGGUCUCGGUUUGUUUAACGGUCAGACUAGUGGCUAAACUUUUACAGUUACUAUUACAAACCAGAAGACUACAAGACUGUAUGACGACGGAAAAAAACAGUUUCCACGGCGAUUAGAGGGGAGGAGAAAAGACUGUGCCAAACCCAGACAAAGGGAGGGGUGCAGGGAGGUAAACACAGAACGAGAGGUCCCGACUGACAAGACUGUGAGGUUCUGGAGAAGCUCCAAAGCUCAUUCCAAAAGACUCGUUACACAGGAAAACUGAAAACUUAUCCAAAUUACAACAUGACUGUACAGCUGUACACUUUAACAACAACUGCAUGAGAGGAGAAAACUGAAAUUGGACACAAGUUCAUGUGAGGAGCGUUAUUUUAGGAGACCCCAUAAACUACAGGAACACAGUCAGAAUGAGCGCUUCAGAUGAUAUGAUGAAAGUCCUUCAGCAAAUCUGGAGCAAACUGCAGGGUUUUUCUCAAGACCACCCGCUCAUGCAGGCGGCCUUUCUGAUCAUGCUGCUCUUCUUCUUAACGUUCAUAACUCUGAUGGUGAUUGGAUGUCUUUAUGGUCGCUGUGGCUGUUGUCAAGGAACCAGAAACCGAGUGUCCGUCAUCUGAUCGGCCCGUUUUCAGUCAACGAAACAUGAAGAUCAAGAACACAGUGGGCCAAAAUAAAGAACAAAUUGAUGAAAUUCAAUGUUUUUUUAUUGUGUGAUAGCACACAUUACAGUGAUAAUAACCAGCCAAUAAAGGAGGUUGUGUACAGGAUGAAUACACGAAACAACGGUGAUGAUGGAAUUCAGAAGAGACUUUCAAAUGUGGACACAAGCAACUACUGAGAAAUCACUUUCGUAUGGAUAUAGUACAAAUGCUGGCUACACUUAAAACCUUUCCCACGGUGUUGAAUAACACAGCAUGCUGUAAGUAAAUCACUAUAAGAAGAGUGCUCAUGUCUGCCGCCUGGUGUUUGCUUACAAUACUGCAGUCAUUUUAGAAGAUUUACAGCAAUGGGAAUCAAGGAAAGAGUUCAGCCUUUUUUCAUCUUAUAGGGGCGGUUUCACGGAUAGGGCUUAUCCUAGUCCCAGACUAAAAUGCGUGUUUGUGCUGCCUUCAUUUAAAAACACCUUGACCUCUUAACAAUGCCAUUGUUUUAUCUCAAGAUGCACAGCAGUGCGAUUUGUUUGUAAAAAACUACUUUAAUGUCCUAUAACUAAAGCCUAGUCCUGGAUUAUCUAAACCCUGUCCGGGAAACCGCCCCUAGAUCUCAUUUUCUAAAAAAUAGUUGAAAUAUAGCCUUGAUACCAGUAUCAAACAGUGAAUAUGUAUGUAAGAGAUGGAAGAGAUGUGAUAUAUCAUGCAAUUUUGUUUGUUUGAUUGUUCUUAAUGCAAUGCCUCCUUUAUUUGUCUAUUUGCAUGGUGAAGUUUAGGUUAAAAAUAAACUCUACGAAAUGUAUAAGAAACUUAUACUGGACAGACUAUGUAUAAUUAUAUUACAGUAUUUAAAAGUAAAUGUAUUUGUUGCAUAUAAAGUGAUGUAAGCAAGAUUCAAGUGUAGCUCGUGUGUGAACUCACCCUUCUUGUUCACAAAAUGCAACCAUAGCAUCAAAGUCCAGGAUGGGAGCUUUAUCCUGCUCUUUCUCGGAUCCUCGUUUCUCCUGUAAAUACAUUUUUAAAUAUUAACUUCAUUAAAUAAUAAAAUACAUGGAUUUUUACUGGAACUAAAGAUGCGUUUACAACAAGAGUAGAGCACCAUUGUAAUUCAAAAUAAAAUGUUUACUUUAUACGCUUUGCCAUACAUCUUAAAUAAAAUGUGCAAAUCAUGA